rnacentral:rRNA from 1 species
GAUCAUGGCUCAGGAUGAACGCUGGCGGCGUGCCUAACACAUGCAAGUCGAACGGAAUUUACAUGAAGCCUAGCGAUUGUAAAUUUAGUGGCGGACGGGUGAGUAACGCGUGGGUAACCUGCCUUGUACUGGGGGGACAACAGUUGGAAACGACUGCUAAUACCGCAUAAGCGCACUGCUUCGCAUGAAGCAGUGUGAAAAACUCCGGUGGUACAAGAGUCGGCCG